CCUACGGGGGCUGCAGUGGGGAAUAUUGGACAAUGGGCGAAAGCCUGAUCCAGCCAUGCCGCGUGUGUGAAGAAGGCCUUCGGGUUGUAAAGCACUUUCAGUGGGGAAGAAAGCCUUGGGGCUAAUACCCUCGAGGAAGGACAUCACCCACAGAAGAAGCACCGGCUAACUCCGUGCCAGCAGCCGCGGUAAUACGGAGGGUGCGAGCGUUAAUCGGAAUUACUGGGCGUAAAGCGCGCGUAGGCGGUCUGAUAAGCCGGUUGUGAAAGCCCCGGGCUCAACCUGGGAACGGCAUCCGGAACUGUCAGGCUAGAGUGCAGGAGAGGAAGGUAGAAUUCCCGGUGUAGCAGUGAAAUGCGUAGAGAUCGGGAGGAAUACCAGUGGCGAAGGCGGCCUUCUGGACUGACACUGACGCUGAGGUGCGAAAGCGUGGGUAGCAAACAGGAUUAGAUACCCCGGUAGUC
rnacentral:rRNA from 1 species